GUGUACGCGCGCAGCGGGCGGUUCCAAGUGUAGCCGGCGCGGAGGGGUGUAGGGUCGGCUCGAUACCCGGGGGCUGGUGAGCGGCAGCUGCUGCGCGCAUGCGCGGUGGCAGGGCGACCCCAGCCUGCGCGGCGUCCCUGCGGCCGGGGAGGGGGAGGUGUGCCGUAGUCACGGCACCCCCCCUUGUGCCGUAGUUCCGGUACCGCGGCGCCGGCGCAGCUGUGGCACGCGAAACUCAACAAUCGUCUCGGCCAGACGUGCGUGUCUGUGCUUGUAGCGUGGUAUCUCCGCUUCUCGUCCCGCGCAGGUCAACAACACAACAUUAGAUGGCCGGGGAAUGAAGAUAAAGAUGGUGUUAAGAAGCCCGCCGCCCAGGGAUGAAGGCGAACCAUGCAGACCAGCCUGUCUCAGGAUCACUCUCGCAAUACUACUGGAUCGGCCUGGUGGUCCUAGUCACGUGCCUUGGUCUUCUGGCGGCCCUGGCUUGCUGGCUGAGACGUUGCAGGUAACGGCAACACGCUGCAACAUGCUGCAACACACUGCAACACACUGCAACACACUUGCGACGCACCUUAGGGGCGGAUCAUGCCCCGUCAUCUGGAAACACUUGGUCUACUGUAGCGAAAGAUGUGUCAUUUUUAUUUUCACGGCUUUAAAAAAAAAAACACGUGACUCUCGCACCACACGUAGCCUUGUGCAAAUAUUGCGUCAUUCGGGGCCCGUUCCACAAAAAUACAAGGUUGUAAGUAACAAGUAAAAUUUUUUGCAAGUUUGUGAAAACAUCCGAAUACAAAUGUUCCAAACACAAAAAAAAAAUCUCUUAUAAAUAGAGACCGGAAAAAUUCGCGAAUUCAUUUCACGAUAGGCUAAAAUACAAAUAGUCAUACCUUAGUGCUGCCUCUGCUAUUGGCUCACAACUCACCUGGAUGACGCUGGGCCAAUGAGAAACGCCCAACCAAAGCUUUAUCGAAUCACAGGCUGGUACGCUGGGACGUCUCACAAGACAACAGCCAAUGAGUGGGUGACAUUUGACCGAGUGUACAUAGAACUAUGGAGUUCAUCCUACAGGUCAUUGAACCCACGAAUUUUUCCGGUCCCUACUUAUAAACGAUUAGUGACUAGUGAAUUCCCACAAGUUUACAAGUGAUUUACUUAAAUCUCCUAUAAAAACCUGGUUAUCUGACACUUGUUUACUACGACUUUGGGUAUCUAGCUCACAUCCUAGAUAGUUUAUGUUUACAAGGUUAGAAAGAAGGGGUCUACUGAAAUUUAAAAAAAAAACAGAUUUGAACUUAAAUCAUAAACCAACUUACGCUGCAACUAAACAAUAAUAACCCUUAACGGUACAUUGACUGAGAGUAUGUUGACAAAUCUUGUCAGUUAAAAGUGUGGUUAUGCGGCCACGUAUUGUAAUGUAGUUCGAAGUGUGAUUGUAUCGCUAAAUCUUGUUACAAAUUAAUGUUUGGCUUCUGGGUCUAGACCACGUCCUUGUAAACGAUGAACUGCCCAAAGUGUGGGCGUGCCUUUUUGCAGAAACUAUCAAGGGUGACUAACAACUGAGUGCUAGUGUCGUGGAACAGUCUUUAUAUAGGGACGAUCGCAGCUCAGCUGUUAUUGGUCCCUGAGGACGGCCCUGAUUGGCGGACCGUCGGCUCUGAUGGUCUAGCCAAUCGUGCGUAUGGUCUGGCCAAUUAGGAAGCAUCUGCUUUGUGGUUGCCACGAGCUAGACCUUUUCUAAUUCCUUUACGAUGAUUUUUCGCGUUUUUUUUUGCAAAACAAAGAAUUACAGAUGUUACUUCAUUUGUAGCUUUGUUCUCUGUUGAUUUUUUUCAGGGUGAUUUCUGAUUUCUGUGGCUUCUCUGAUUAAUCGGUGGUUGUAAUUGGCAAUACUGAUAAUAUGUUUGGCUUGGUCGAAGUGGAUUGUGUGUCCUGUUUCCUCGGAGUGUUGAGCUAGGUUUGAACGGUUGCUGUUGUAUUUGAUGAUUGUUAAACGUUCUUCUAGGCGAGUAGAGAUCCUUCUGCCAGUUUGUCCUAUAAUUGUCUUAUUGCAGGAGCAGAGAACGUUAUAAACUCCAAUGAGACAUUUCUCCUGAACGCAAUUCCUGGCUCUGUGAAAGACAAUAAACUGCCUAUUAACUCCCCAAGAGUUUAUAAAGUUCCCUGAUACUUCAACAAGACCUGUGUAGUACAAAUGAUCUAUACUUGCCUAAAGGAACAUUUAGCAGACACAAAAAACAACAGAAACAGUUCUGCCCUAGCUAAUCACUACAGUGAAAGAGGAUACAAUUUGCUUCGUCCAAGCAUAUGCAAUGCCAAAUAUUGCCAAUCCUAACCACAGAUCAAAUAUAGAAGCCUCAGAAAUCAGAAGACACCCUUAUAACAUCAACAGAGAAGAUGGCCUCAAAUUAAUAUCUGGAAUUCCUUGUUCUAAAAAAUCGGGAACAAUCAUUAUAAAGGAAUUAGCAAAAGUCUAGCAUGUGACAACUACAAAGGAGAUGCUUCCUGAUUGGUCAGACCAUCAGUGCCGACCCACCACCAAUCAGGGCCAACCUCAGGGACCAAUCACAGCUGAGCUGCGAUCGGGACCUUUAUAGAUACUGCUUCAGAAUACCAGGUGUCAAUUGUUAAUCGCCCUUGAAGAUGGUUUCAACAAGGCACGCCGAAACGUCGGGCACAUCAUCAUAUACAAGGACGUGACCCCAAUCUAGAAGCCAGUGACUGUAGCCAGAAAGCCUACGAUAUAGGAAAGUUUGUUAGUUCCAAGUAUACCAAUUAAACAUUGCCGCACACAAUUAUUAACACUUUUACUUGCAAGAGACAAUUUUUGAAAAUAUAUGCUAAACAUUUAGAGAUCAUUUAACGUAAGUACGAGUUUUUAACUAACGGGUAAAAUUGUACAAGUUAGUUAAAUUAUACAAUUAGAAUUGUUUGACAAAAGCACCCCUUUAAACUUGUAAUGUCAUGUGAAUUUUCACAAUUUUACAAGUUAUUUUACUUGUAGGCUUAUAAAUAACAAAAUUGUAGCUGAUACUUGUUGUCUACUACUAAUUUCGUACCUACCUCAAAAUUUAGGGAGGUUAUAAUCACAAAAUUUUACUAAUAAUAAUAAUCCUAGAAAGAUGUUGUCUAGUUUUUCCCCUACUGAGAUAAAUUAUAUGAUAUAGAUGAACUUAUAUAAUUAAAAAUGUGUGCUUCAAACUAAAAAAAAUAAUAACUGUAAACAGUGAAUUAAUUAAAUGAGUUUAUGUGGCAAAAUAUUGUUAGUUACAAGUGUGGCUAUGUCACCAAAUCCUGAUAGUUACAAGUGUACAUACUUCUACACUUGUGACACACAACCAAAACUUUUACUUGUUAGUGACAUGUUUAUACAAUCUAAAAGAAAACCUGUUCUUAAAAACUUGUAAUUAUAGGUGUUUAUUUCUUACAACUGUUACCUUCAAGACUUGUAAAUUUGUGAAAUGUACAAAUAUUGAAUACAAUAUACAAUAUACAACAUUUAUUAUAAUUGGUACUUUCAAGACCUAUACAUUUGUGAAAUGUGUCCAUGUUCGUACAACUAAGUGAAUACACGAGCUUAUUUUUUUUUUACAAUUGUUAACAAAAAGACUUGUAUCUUUGUGAAACGGUUCUCGGAGUCACACACGUGAGAUAAUCAGUGGCUUCCUCCCAAAGGUUACAUAUUUAUCCUGUUUAUUGAUACCAACAAUAAUGAAAACAUACUUUUAAAAAAUUUAUCUACGCCUUUUCGCACCAAAAAAAAAUGAUAUAUAUUUUGAGAAAGGAACUAAAGAAAAAAUUACCGAAUAAAAGAUGGUGGUGUAUUAUCCCUCUUAAAUAAACUAUACUAAUGAAAUAUGUCACGAAUUAUGUCACAAUGUUGCUUGUUACAAAACGCUAACAAAAUAAUUACAUAGUUAUUCCAGUUAAAAGAGAACCUAAGAAAUCACGCCUAAGCUAAUGUCCUUACAUACCCAAUCUCUACCAAAACAAAAGCAAUGAAUAAUUUAAUCAGUUUAAUUUAUGCUUAAACAUUGAUUAAUAAUUAAAAAUUAAUCUGAACUCUUCAAACGAAAUUAAAUAAGAAGUGUAAAUUGAAUGAGUAGACUACCAUACGUAAAUGCAACCAACACCAAUAUUUUUUUUUAUUCUAUUGUAUAUUAUACAGCCCUGUAUGAGCGUUAGGACACUAUAAAAUAUGUAUGAAAUUUUGGAUGGAUAAUUUCAGUAGCAGCCUACGACUGAAUUUACAUUAGGUAAAUUGAAAUACACAACUGGUAACAAUCUGCCUCUAUUUCUCAACUUUUGUAAUUAUUUGUAAAUUUUACCUUUAGUUUGAAAUCAAAACUAAGUGAGUAACAAUCUGAAUCAUAUCUGAAUAUAUGUCGCUGAAACAUAACGAGUGUGUGAUAAAAAAUUAUUGUUGUUGUUAACUGGUCCGCGCAUAAUAAAUAGCCAAUUUACGUGAUGAUAAGGUCAUUAGCACAGUGGAAAUAAAAGAGCACACUGAAUUAGUAUUCAAUAAAAUAUAUCUUUUUUCGGGCUUGAUCCAGGCCAACUAUUUAAACUAUCGUGGUUGGUGUUCACUAAAAUUUCCCCGCUUCCACAUAUGCGUAAUUGUUUAUUGGAUGAUAAUGACAUUCUGUUGCCUAUUGCCUUUAACCGGCAGAAAAGGCGAUAUGGGGAUAGUUUUAGCACAAUUAAACCAUCAAAAGAAGUGCACGCCACUCAAUAAUUAUUUAUAAAUAAAGUUAGAAUUAAUAAUAUUUGGCAGCCCAGUCGCCACAAAAAAAAUAUUAUAAACCCUGCUCUAUACUCGUUUUAAGAAAAACUGAGUUGAUGUAAUGCAGGAGAUAAAAUGGAAUGUGUUCCUACUACUAUACAUAUAAAUUGUAAAAUCUGUGCUUGUUACAUAAUCACUCAUAACGUACCGUGUGGAUGUGCAUUAAAGUUUGAUACAGCUAAUAUAUAAUUUAUCCAUAUUUAAUUUACUUUUCAUCCCUGAAGCUAAGAUAACUCUUUAACGGCUUUUGGUGUUUUGAAAUUUUUCUACAAUUUCUCGUUUUAAUUAAAGGUUCUUAAUAUCGUUUAAUGAACACUAGUUCAUAAUAUAAAACUUAAAUUACAAAUUUCGGAAUAACACAUAAGUAUAU